AUGGUCGAGACCGCCUGCCGCGACAAUGGCGAGAGCGUCGAGUCCAUCAAGGGCAUGUUCAGCGCGCUCUCCGUUGUCGGUGGAGACAACUAUGAUUUCGCUUCUACGGCAUGGCCAUGGGGGCACGCGGCCCUCCGCGCGGCCGUCGACCAGCAUGGGGGCUGCCCCGGCAACAAGACGGUCGCGGAGUUUGCUGGCGAGCACUGCAUCAAGGACCUCGACGCGGCAUGCAAGGAUCCGACCUGCACCGACGGUGCUCACAUCGAAUGCUACAGUACAGCCUCGAAAUUUUGCUACAUCAAGGCCACCACCGCCGACCAGAACGCCAUAUAUGCAAACAUGGAUUGCUUCGUGAGCUGUUGCGAAAAGAAGACGACGAGUGAAGAGUGCAGUAAAAGAGCUUCUUAG
rnacentral:rRNA from 1 species